GGUCUCAAGCGUUGUUCGGAUCCAUUGGGCGUAAAGGGUGCGUAGGUGGCGCUGUAAGUCGGGUGUGAAAUUUCGGAGCUUAACUCCGAAACUGCAUUCGAUACUGCGGUGCUUGAGGACUGGAGAGGAGACUGGAAUUCAUGGUGUAGCAGUGAAAUGCGUAGAGAUCAUGAGGAAGACCAGUGGCGAAGGCGGGUCUCUGGACAGUUCCUGACACUGAGGCACGAAGGCCAGGGGAGCAAACGGG
rnacentral:rRNA from 1 species